AUAUAUAUACACACCCUAUCUAUAUAUGUGUGCGGACGAUGAGAAAGAGAGAGAGAGAGAGAAAAAGAGAGAAAGAGAUGGAUAGAACGAACGACGAGUAUAUAAAUGUGAGAACGUGAGAACGAAAAAUGAAGGCAGGAAGAAGGAUAUCAUGAUUUUUCAUUUGCGAAAUACGGGCUCGUGUUUAUUGCACGUGCUUUUUCAUAUAACACCUGGAUAUUCGGAAAUGGAUAUGUCGAACUUUCGAUAAAUCCAUAACUACGAGAGUCAAAAUGAGAUUGCAUAACUGACCCAUCCGAAAUAUAACGGAUAAGCUAUAAAGGAAAUAAUCGUGCAUAUUGGUUCCUCUAAGUAGGACAUAGCGUAUAUAUAUAUAUAUAUAUAUAUAUAUAUAUAUAUAUAUGUAUGUAUGUAUGUGUGUCAUGCCUAUUAUAUACGUAUAUUGUUUUGUGAGGCGGUACUUCAGAAUUCUUGCAAAGGUGCGCGCGAAGACAAAAGAGCCGAGGAACGUGUAGAUUCGACACGAGUUCGCAGUACCGUUAGCUUGGGAGCACUUGUAGCAUUUUCAGGCAAUUGAGAGCUCUACGCUCCUCUGUGGCUAGACCUUCUUCUUUAUUAUUAUGGUAGACACAGACCGCCCGGCAGCAUCAACUUAGAAACGAUCAACAUGAACGAUAUAAUUGAAGAAAUAAUGCAAAUAUUUUUUCUUGAGUUUUAUUCGUUCAAAUUCGUUUAAUAUAGAUAGACAUGCGACGAUAUAUAUGGUAUGGGUAUAUGAAUAAUAAAGAUCUAUCAAUCAUUGUCCUGUCGUUGAAAAUUGAUAAUUUAGAUUGAUUUUGUUAAAUUAUUUGAAAAUAAAGAUAAAUAAGUUGGAAUUACAAAGCAUCAA